UUGUCUUUUAUAAACUUCCUUCCCGGUUAAGGGCUUUGGAGCGACACGAUAAUCUUAAAUUUCCAUUAAAAGCCUUAUGUAAUCUACGAUAUUUAUGAUUAAGUCUUAGAAGUUUUUGAUUCCCAAGGUAAAUAGUUUUUUUCUCCAUUUUUUAAUUGGUGGAAGCAUGUAUCAUUUUCACAUAUUCGACACGCUUUAUGUUCC
rnacentral:lncRNA from 1 species